AUUGAACGCUGGCGGCAUGCUUUACACAUGCAAGUCGAACGGUAACAGGCCGCAAGGUGCUGACGAGUGGCGAACGGGUGAGUAAUGCAUCGGAACGUGCCCAGUCGUGGGGGAUAACGCAGCGAAAGCUGUGCUAAUACCGCAUACGAUCUGUGGAUGAAAGCGGGGGACCUUCGGGCCUCGCGCGAUUGGAGCGGCCGAUGUCAGAUUAGGUAGUUGGUGGGUUAAAGGCUCACCAAGCCAACGAUCUGUAGCUGGUCUGAGAGGACGACCAGCCACACUGGGACUGAGACACGGCCCAGACUCCUACGGGAGGCAGCAGUGGGGAAUUUUGGACAAUGGGCGCAAGCCUGAUCCAGCAAUGCCGCGUGCAGGAAGAAGGCCUUCGGGCUGUAAACUGCUUUUGUACGGAGCGAAAAGGCUCCCUCUAAUACAGGGGGCUCAUGACGGUACCGUAAGAAUAAGCACCGGCUAACUACGUGCCAGCAGCCGCCGUAACAC
rnacentral:rRNA from 1 species